AGCAGCCGCGGUAAUUCCAGCUCCAAUAGCGUAUAUUAAAGUUGUUGCAGUUAAAAAGCUCGUAGUUGAAUUUCGGGAUCAGUUGGUCGGUCGUGCCUCGGUACGUACUGGUCAAAUUGAUUCCUACCUUCUGACGAACCACGAUGUCAUUAAUUUGGUGUCGCGGGAAAUCAGGACUGUUACUUUGAAAAAAUUAGAGUGUUUAAAGCAGGCUCGCGCUUGAAUACAUUAGCAUGGAAUAAUGAAAUAGGACGUUUGAUUCUAUUUUGUUGGUUUCUAGGAUCGACGUAAUGAUUAAUAGGGAUAGUUGGGGGCAUUAGUAUUCAAUUGUCAGAGGUGAAAUUCUUGGAUUUAUUGAAGACUAACUACUGCGAAAGCAUUUGCCGAGGAUGUUUUCAUUAAUCAAGAACGAAAGUUAGGGGAUCGAAGACGAUCAGAUACCGUCGUAGUCUUAACCAUAAACUAUGCCGACUAGGGAUCGGAUGAUGUUAAUUUUCUAAUGACUCAUUCGGCGCCUUACG
rnacentral:rRNA from 1 species